GUUGAAAUACGAGUUCUCGUACGAUCACUGAUGUCAAGCAACGUCGAGUCUGGUCAGUACCUAAACGGGUGACCGCUUGGGAAUACCAUGUGCUGUAAG